rnacentral:rRNA from 1 species
AUGAACGCUAGCUACAGGCUUAACACAUGCAAGUCGAGGGGCAGCAUGGUCUUAGCUUGCUAAGACUGAUGGCGACCGGCGCACGGGUGAGUAACACGUAUCCAACCUGCCGUCUACUCUUGGACAGCCUUCUGAAAGGAAGAUUAAUACAAGAUGGCAUCAUGAGUCCGCAUGUUCACAUGAUUAAAGGUAUUCCGGUAGACGAUGGGGAUGCGUUCCAUUAGAUAGUAGGCGGGGUAACGGCCCACCUAGUCUUCGAUGGAUAGGGGUUCUGAGAGGAAGGUCCCCCACAUUGGAACUGAGACACGGUCCAAACUCUUACGGGAGGCAGCAGUGAGGAAUAUUGGUCAAUGGGCGAGAGCCUGAACCAGCCAAGUAGCGUGAAGGAUGACUGCCCUAUGGGUUGUAAACUUCUUUUAUAAAGGAAUAAAGUCGGGUAUGCAUACCCGUUUGCAUGUACUUUAUGAAUAAGGAUCGGCUAACUCCGUGCCAGCAGCCGCGGUAAUACGGAGGAUCCGAGCGUUAUCCGGAUUUAUUGGGUUUAAAGGGAGCGUAGAUGGAUGUUUAAGUCAGUUGUGAAAGUUUGCGGCUCAACCGUAAAAUUGCAGUUGAUACUGGAUAUCUUGAGUGCAGUUGAGGCAGGCGGAAUUCGUGGUGUAGCGGUGAAAUGCUUAGAUAUCACGAAGAACUCCGAUUGCGAAGGCAGCCUGCUAAGCUGCAACUGACAUUGAGGCUCGAAAGUGUGGGUAUCAAACAGGAUUAGAUACCCUGGUAGUCCACACGGUAAACGAUGAAUACUCGCUGUUUGCGAUAUACAGCAAGCGGCCAAGCGAAAGCGUUAAGUAUUCCACCUGGGGAGUACGCCGGCAACGGUGAAACUCAAAGGAAUUGACGGGGGCCCGCACAAGCGGAGGAACAUGUGGUUUAAUUCGAUGAUACGCGAGGAACCUUACCCGGGCUUAAAUUGCAGAUGAAUUACGGUGAAAGCCGUAAGCCGCAAGGCAUCUGUGAAGGUGCUGCAUGGUUGUCGUCAGCUCGUGCCGUGAGGUGUCGGCUUAAGUGCCAUAACGAGCGCAACCCUUGUUGUCAGUUACUAACAGGUCAUGCUGAGGACUCUGACAAGACUGCCAUCGUAAGAUGUGAGGAAGGUGGGGAUGACGUCAAAUCAGCACGGCCCUUACGUCCGGGGCUACACACGUGUUACAAUGGGGGGGUACAGAGGGCCGCUACCACGCGAGUGGAUGCCAAUCCCCAAAACCUCUCUCAGUUCGGACUGGAGUCUGCAACCCGACUCCACGAAGCUGGAUUCGCUAGUAAUCGCGCAUCAGCCACGGCGCGGUGAAUACGUUCCCGGGCCUUGUACACACCGCCCGUCAAGCCAUGGGAGCCGGGGGUACCUGAAGUGCGUAACCGCGAGGAGCGCCCUAGGGUAAAACUGGUGACUGGGGCU